GUGUUGACACUUUGGGUCUGAGU
rnacentral:piRNA from 1 species